CUGAUGAUAAAGAGUUGGUUCAUCAUUACAGAUGAACACAGGAUCAUGCCAAACCUGAGCAUUUAAGAAUACCUGAAAAUAUCUGAGAGACAGCGAGAG